UCCUUGGACAUCUCCAGACUCUUCUGCAUGAGUCCAGAACCCCUUGGAUGCCCCCAGACCUCUCUAGGACGUCUCCAGAUCCCUCGGCACGAUUCUAAGUGGGGAAAAGGUGGGCUGAAGGGGGGGGGAAAGGGGUUAGUGGGGCUUCUGUGGGGUGGAAAGGGAGUCUGGGGGUGGAGAGGGGGUUGUGUGGAAUCUGGGGGGGGGGGAAGGUGUGAGUGGGGCUGCUGUGGGGUGGAGGGAGGGGAGAGCUGGGGGUCGUGGGGGGGGUUCUAUGGGACAUAAAGGGGGUCCCGUUGGGGGAUACUGGGGGUCAAAAUGGGGGAGCGGACUCCAGAGGUCAGGGAGGAGGGCAUGGGGGGUACAGGGGACU
ensembl:lncRNA